CACGUAGGGUGCGGGCGUUGUCCGGAAUUAUUGGGCGUAAAGAGCUCGUAGGCGGUGUGUCGCGUCGGCCGUGAAAACCUGCAGCUUAACUGUGGGCUUGCGGUCGAUACGGGCAUGACUGGAGUUCGGCAGGGGAGACUGGAAUUCCUGGUGUAGCGGUGAAAUGCGCAGAUAUCAGGAGGAACACCGGUGGCGAAGGCGGGUCUCUGGGCCGAUACUGACGCUGAGGAGCGAAAGCGUGGGGAGCGAACAGG
rnacentral:rRNA from 1 species